rnacentral:lncRNA from 1 species
AGAAGCAGUUAUAUCCCUAAGUCAUAAAGCAGCAGCUGGGCCCAAGAUUCCUGGCAUCCUUCCAAUCUCACCUCCCCCGCCCUAUUUACCCAGGAGCAAAAGAAGCGGAGGGAAGCAACACAGCGCAGCGUGACUACGUGCUUGAUCUGUCUCCUCCUAACGGGCAUGCAGAACCCCAGCUUUUAAGUUGGUCUCCGCAGAGGACAACUGCAUUCUCCAGCCUCCUGUACAGCAGAGAGUGCCAUGUGACUAAGACCAAGUUCUAACCAGUGGGAUCAAAGCAGGGAAGUGUUGCCUUCUUUGCCCCUUCCUGCUGGCUGGAAUAUGACAAAACGGCUGCAGCAUGAGCAACCUUCUUGGGCCCUGAGGUGGAAGCCACCUGUUGGUUGACCGACCAGAUGGUGGAGUGACCAGAUAGAAGGGGCCUGGUGAUUGUGGAUUCUGCCACACUACCUCUGGUCCCCUAUACCUAUGUGAAAGGAAAAGAAAUGUCUGCCAUGUUCGUGUGUGUGUGUGUGUGUGUAGUGUGUGUGUGUGUGUGUGUGUCUGCCAUGUUUAAGCCACUAUAACUUUGGGAUAUCUGUGGCUUAUAGUCAAAUCUAAUCCAAACAAAUGCACCUCUAUGUCCCCCUCACAGAUAAGAAGAUUGAUGCAAGGGAACCCCUGAUGUGGCCAUAACACAAAGAUAGCUUCAACCACCACCGAUACGGAGCUGGACUCCGCCCUUCCUGGCCUCCUGGCCUUUUAUUCCCCGCUAAUUCCUCUGGAUUCCUAAUGACUCCCAUUCCCUGCAUGCACACCAGGUACAGUCACAUCUCCUGGCGUUUACUCUUGCCAUACCCAGUGUCCAGCUUCCCUCCCUUAUCUUUGUUUUGUUUUGUUUUUUGAGACGGAGUCUUGCUCUGUCGCCCAGGCUGGAGUGCAGUGGUGUGAUCUCGGCUCACUGCAACCUCCGCCUCCCGGGUUCAAGCCAUUCUCCUGCCACAGCCUCCCCAGUAGUUGAGAUUACAGGCACAGGCACGUGCCACCACGCCCAGCUAAUUUUUGUGUUUUUAGUAGAGAUGGGGUUUCCCAUGUUAGCCAGGCUGGUCUCGAACUCCUGGCCUCAAGUAAUCCACCCGCC